GUUUCGCAAACUUCAGCCCCUGUCUGGGAUGAGAGUGCCUCCUUUCUCAUCAGGAAACCACACACUGAGAACCUAGAGUUGCAGGUUCGGGGUGAGGGCACUGGCGUGCUGGGCUCAUUAUCCCUGCCCCUCUCAGAGCUCCUCGUGGCUGACCAGCUAUGCUUGGACCGCUGGUUUACACUCAACAGUGGUCAGGGGCAGGUGCUACUGAGAGCACAGCUAGGGAUCCUGGUGUCCCAGCACUCGGGAGUGGAAGCUCAUAGCCACAGCUACAGCCACAGCUCCUCAUCUCUGAGUGAAGAACCAGAGCUCUCGGGGGGACCCCCUCACAUCACCUCUUCAGCCCCAGAGCUCCGGCAGCGCCUAACACAUGUUGACAGUUCCCUUGAGGCUCCAGCCGGGCCUCUGGGCCAGGUGAAACUGACUGUGUGGUACUACAGUGAAGAACGAAAGCUGGUCAGCAUUGUUCAUGGUUGCCGGUGAGACCCCAUCCCUCCUGUCCUCCAGAUCGCCUCCAUCCCUUCCCUCAGGUUACCGUAUCACCUACAUCCUCCUGUUGUAGG
rnacentral:sRNA from 1 species